CCUACGGGGGGCAGCAGUGGGGAAUAUUGCACAAUGGGGGGAACCCUGAUGCAGCAAUGCCGCGUGGGUGAAGAAGCACUCCGGUGCGUAAAGCCCUGUCAGCAGGGAAGAAAAUGACAGUACCUGGACAAGAAGCCCCGGCUAACUACGUGCCAGCAGCCGCGGUAAUACGUAGGGGGCAAGCGUUAUCCGGAUUUACUGGGUGUAAAGGGAGCGCAGGCGGCGUGGCAAGUCAGAUGUGAAAACCCGGGGCCCAACCCCGGGAGUGCAUUUGAAACUGUUGGUCUUGAGUAUCGGAGAGGCAGGCGGAAUUCCUAGUGUAGCGGUGAAAUGCGUAGAUAUUAGGAGGAACACCAGUGGCGAAGGCGGCCUGCUGGACGACAACUGACGGUGAGGCGCGAAAGCGUGGGGAGCAAACAGGAUUAGAUACCCCAGUAGUC
rnacentral:rRNA from 1 species